GCCUGAUCCAGCCAUGCCGCGUGAGUGAUGAAGGUCUUCGGGUUGUAAAGCUCUUUCGACGGGGAAGAUAAUGACGGUACCCGUAGAAGAAGCCCCGGCUAACUUCGUGCCAGCAGCCGCGGUAAUA
rnacentral:rRNA from 1 species